rnacentral:rRNA from 1 species
AACGAACGCUGGCGGCAUGCCUAACACAUGCAAGUCGAACGCCCUCUUCGGAGGGAGUGGCGCACGGGUGCGUAACGCGUGGGAACCUGCCCUUAGGUUCGGAAUAACUCCCCGAAAGGGGUGCUAAUACCGGAUAAUGUCUGCGGACCAAAGAUUUAUCGCCUUUGGAUGGGCCCGCGUAGGAUUAGCUAGUUGGUGGGGUAAAGGCCUACCAAGGCGACGAUCCUUAGCUGGUCUGAGGGGAUGAUCAGCCACACUGGGACUGAGACACGGCCCAGACUCCUACGGGAGGCAGCAGUGGGGAAUAUUGGACAAUGGGCGAAAGCCUGAUCCAGCAAUGCCGCGUGAGUGACGAAGGCCUUAGGGUUGUAAAGCUCUUUUACCAGGGAUGAUAAUGACAGUACCUGGAGAAUAAGCUCCGGCUAACUCCGUGCCAGCCGCCGCCGUAACAC